rnacentral:rRNA from 1 species
AGUGAACGCUGGCGGUAGGCCUAACACAUGCAGGUCGAACGGCAGCACAGGAGAGCUUGCUCUCUGGGUGGCGAGUGGCGGACGGGUGAGGAAUACAUCGGAAUCUACUCUGUCGUGGGGGAUAACGUAGGGAAACUUACGCUAAUACCGCAUACGACCUACGGGUGAAAGCAGGGGACCUUCGGGCCUUGCGCGAUUGAGUGAGCCGAUGUCGGAUUCGCUAGUUGGCGGGGGAAAGGCGCACCAAGGCGACGAUCCGUAGCUGGUCUGAGAGGAUGAUGCGCCACACUGGAACAGAGACACGGUCCAGACUCCUACGGGAGGCAGCAGUGGGGAAUAUUGGACAAUGGGCGCAAGCCUGAUCCAGCCAUACCGCGUGGGUGAAGAAGGCCUUCGGGUUGUAAAGCCCUGUUGUUGGGAAGGAAAUCCAGCUGGCUAAUACCCGGUUGGGAUGACGGUACCCAAAGAAUAAGCACCGGCUAACUUCGUGCCAGCCGCCGCAGUAA